UACGAAGGGGGGCUAGCGUUGCUCGGAAUCACUGGGCGUAAAGGGUGCGUAGGCGGGUCUUUAAGUCAGGGGUGAAAUCCUGGAGCUCAACUCCAGAACUGCCUUGAUACUGAAGAUCUUGAGUUCGGGAGAGGUGAGUGGAACUGCGAGUGUAGAGGUGAAAUUCGUAGAUAUUCGCAAGAACACCAGUGGCGAAGGCGGCUCACUGGCCCGAUACUGACGCUGAGGUGCGAAAGCGUGGGGAGCAAACAGG
rnacentral:rRNA from 1 species